AGCCCGCUGCGCUGUGCGUCAGGCUUUCAAACCCCGGGGCUGAAUACUUCUAGGGAGCUGUCCCUGUCCGACCCUUGGGCCGGUUACACGGCACCCACCUGCACAUGCAGGCCACGGAGGUUUUUCGAAGCCGACGGCAGUGCGGCGGCAC
rnacentral:other from 1 species